ACCUGCCUGUAAGACUGGGAUAACUCCGGGAAACCGGGGCUAAUACCGGAUGGUUGUUUGAACCGCAUGGUUCAAACAUAAAAGGUGGCUUCGGCUACCACUUACAGAUGGACCCGCGGCGCAUUAGCUAGUUGGUGAGGUAACGGCUCACCAAGGCAACGAUGCGUAGCCGACCUGAGAGGGUGAUCGGCCACACUGGGACUGAGACACGGCCCAGACUCCUACGGGAGGCAGCAGUAGGGAAUCUUCCGCAAUGGACGAAAGUCUGACGGAGCAACGCCGCGUGAGUGAUGAAGGUUUUCGGAUCGUAAAGCUCUGUUGUUAGGGAAGAACAAGUACCGUUCGAAUAGGGCGGUACCUUGACGGUACCUAACCAGAAAGCCACGGCUAACUACGUGCCAGCAGCCGCGGUAAUACGUAGGUGGCAAGCGUUGUCCCGGAAAUUAUUGGGGCGUAAAGGGGCUUGGCAGGGCGGGUUUUUUUAAGUCUUGAUGUGAAAAGCCCCCCGGCUCAACCCGGGGAGGGUCAUUGGAAACUGGGGGAACUUGAGUGCAGAAGAGGAGAGUGGAAUUCCACGUGUAGCGGUGAAAUGCGUAGAGAUGUGGAGGAACACCAGUGGCGAAGGCGACUCUCUGGUCUGUAACUGACGCUGAGGAGCGAAAGCGUGGGGAGCGAACAGGAUUAGAUACCCUGGUAGUCCACGCCGUAAACGAUGAGUGCUAAGUGUUAGGGGGUUUCCGCCCCUUAGUGCUGCAGCUAACGCAUUAAGCACUCCGCCUGGGGAGUACGGUCGCAAGACUGAAACUCAAAGGAAUUGACGGGGGCCCGCACAAGCGGUGGAGCAUGUGGUUUAAUUCGAAGCAACGCGAAGAACCUUACCAGGUCUUGACAUCCUCUGACAAUCCUAGAGAUAGGACGUCCCCUUCGGGGGCAGAGUGACAGGUGGUGCAUGGUUGUCGUCAGCUCGUGUCGUGAGAUGUUGGGUUAAGUCCCGCAACGAGCGCAACCCUUGAUCUUAGUUGCCAGCAUUCAGUUGGGCACUCUAAGGUGACUGCCGGUGACAAACCGGAGGAAGGUGGGGAUGACGUCAAAUCAUCAUGCCCCUUAUGACCUGGGCUACACACGUGCUACAAUGGACAGAACAAAGGGCAGCGAAACCGCGAGGUUAAGCCAAUCCCACAAAUCUGUUCUCAGUUCGGAUCG
rnacentral:rRNA from 1 species